UUAAUCAGUAGAGGCGCGCUGCCUAUCAGUACCCGUGCGGAGGAUGAUCCCGAUGAUGCCGGAGAAAGGAGUCAGCGCCGAAGUGACUGCAGUUAUCACGCUCAGUUGCUGGGUCUGUGUCGAAUAGGCACAGAACUGCCAUAGUAUUUUUCCUAUGGAGCGCUACCUGAAGG
rnacentral:ncRNA from 2 species